UGUCUGACCCAUAGACUGUCCUACCCAUAGACUGUCUGACCAUAGACUGUAAGGUCUUACCCAUAGACUGUACGGUCUGAUCCAUAAACUAUCUGACCAUAGACUGUCUGACUAUAGACUGUCUGACCAUAGACUGUCUGACCAUAGACUGUCUGACCCAUAGACUGUCUGAACAUAGACUGUAAGGUAUGUCCUCUGUUGGAGAGCUCGCUGCUGCUCACGUGCUCGGUCAACACGGUUCCGUAGCUCUGCAGCUCUUCGACCAUCCUCCGAUACAAGUGAACGUCAUCUCUGUGAAGUCAAAGGCAGCUGUACCCACUGCAACAGUGUUUCCACUGUUUAAGGCUCUGUCUAAGCUGUGGUCGGGACUCCAGGACGAGGCCGAGCUGCUGAACAUCCUCAAUAACAUCAGCAUCAACCUGCAGCCCUUCAUCGCCUCGCAGGCCAAGAUCUUCUCUGAAGCUCAUUUAGACGGCCUGUUGGAGUCCUCAGAGGUGAGCGAAUCGAUCCAGGUGAGAUGAAGUCACAUGAUUGGCUCCUCCCUGAAACUACAGCCAGCUUUAAUGAGCUGCCACUGCAGUAUAAUGGAGUCUGUGGAUACACUGUGGUGACCAGAGACGGACUCCUAUUACCAGACCUCAGCAGCUUUAUCUUUGGGAGAACAGCUUAAACUGCAACCAAAAUGUUCAGGAAUCCAACCCCACCAAUCUCUGCCAGAGAAUGUAGAUGAUUGGAACUGAAGCUCAUUGGACGGGACCAUUACGGGAUACACGAGAGCGUCUUCAAGUCAAUCCUCAGCUCGGACAUCGACCUGCGGCGCUGCUUCCUGGGAAACAUCGUGCUGUCAGGAGGGAACACCCUGCUGGACGGCCUGCCUGAGCAGCUCCAGGCUGGAAUCAAAGGACUGGUUCCCCCUGACACAGGGGAGAGUGUUCAUGUCACCAGCCCGAAGGACAGAGACUUUUCAGUGUGGAGGGGAGGAGCAGUGCUUGCCAACCUGCCCACCUUCAGCUCCGCAUGGAUCAGUCAGGAAGAAUACGAGGAGUACGGACCGCAGAUCAUCUUCAGGAAAUGCUUCUGAGAUGAACUCUGAGCAAUGUACUGAUUAACUUUUUACUACACAAAGUGCAAUAUACAAACAGCCCGAAAACAGUGCCAUGGACCGGUCCUCCUUGAAUAUUUAUCUGUCUUGUAUGUAUUUACGGCUUUAAACCUGCAGUAGGUGUGGAUCCUGACUAGUGUGCUCUUACCUAUCACCUGAGCUGCUACUGACCCGCUGCACACUCUUAAGCUAUUUGCUCGAGGUUCCAGGCUCUUUGCUCUAAGUCCUGUUGCUAAGAGCCACAAAUAUGGCAUGGAUGAAAUUUAUAUUUCUGCCCUUAAAAUGUUGUCCGUCAAUGUUACUGUUCAUGAAGCGCCUUAAACUGUGUCUAAACCUUCCCAAGUUGGGUUCUAUUUUUAAUCAAUUAAUAAGCGAGAGUUUAAAGUAUAGAAAUGUUUGUGUUUAAGAGAUAAGAAUUGAAGCUGGCCUUUAAUUGAUGUCUGCCAAUUAUUUUUUCCCAAAAUAAGCGAUUGAGGGACAAAGAUAAAUCACUCAACGUGCUGACUAUAUAAUCAAAUAUCAAAUAUAUAUUUAUACAAAGAUGUAAACACAGUUAGUGUAACAGUUUGAGCUUAAUGUGUGCGACAUGGUGCAAGUUGGAUUUUGAAUGAUUUGGAUCAGUGCAGCUGUGCAGUGUUCACAAUCUAAAAUAUUCGAUAGAAACGCCAUUAAAUGAUCUUAAGAUGGAUUAUUAAGACCACUUUUCUCAAACUUUUUUCUGGAUUUUAUGUUCCAUUUAUUUCCCCUUAAAUGUCAAGAAAAUGUUUGCUUGUAAUGUUAUGUCUUUUUUCCCCUCACACGUAUCAUAAAAUUACAGCUUUAGAAGAUGUUUGCACAUUAUAGGAACAUUUUUAAUUUCUUGCAGAUGAGAUAAAGUGGUUCCCUCUUUUGGUUAAAGAUCAUAAUACAUGCAAGUUUGUCGUUUCUGCAGGAGUGUGAACCGGUGGGGAGAGACGUGUUGAUUUGUGGGAUAUGAAGUUUGUUUACUAGUAAACAUGCAGCUGAGUCAUGGUAAAUGUAAUGGUUAUUUUCCAGCUGAAGAGCCCUUUGGUCAGCAUGUCUUUUGUUGUGUUCAUGGUGUAAGAUGUGAAGUGCGGUAUUUAAGUGCUAAUACCUCUCAUGUCUGUAGAAUAAGCAAAUGAAGUUAAUGCUACUGCUGCAGGAACAGUUUGUGUUUGAUGUGUCAUUUUUUUCUAUUUGAGUGAUGUGUCUUAUAAAUGAUUUCCUGAGUUUUGUUUAGAAUUGUUAAAAGUUGUGUGCAUGUUUUUUUUUCUCUUUCACAGUAGUGGUCAUUACUUGUGAAGGGUGUUGCCAAAUCUGCUGUAUUUAUCUCUUUACCAUGAAACCUUGAGGAACCUUUAAGCCAACCUGUAUAUAAAUAUUAAGUUUACUUUUUGAAUGUGGAUUUUUUGCAUUGAAUUAUUGUGUUUGCAUGUAAUUAAGUUGCUCUUUUUCUGCAUGUUUUCCUCUGUGUGCUUGCUUGUCUUUGUAUUUUGCUUUUUAAAAGGCAAAGGGGGGUUGUCAUGUGACCUAAAGCUCAGCUCUGAAGUGGGAAUCACCAUUAAAUGUGACUGUAGUGUUUUCA